rnacentral:tRNA from 2 species
GGGUCGUUCGUAUAACGGUAGUACAUCUGGCUUUUAACCAGAACGGUGAGAGUUCGAAUCUCUUGCGACCCACCA